AUUGAACGCUGGCGGCAGGCUUAACACAUGCAAGUCGAGCGGAGUGAUGGUGCUUGCACUAUCACUUAGCGGCGGACGGGUGAGUAAUGCUUAGGAAUCUGCCUAUUAGUGGGGGACAACAUCUCGAAAGGGAUGCUAAUACCGCAUACGUCCUACGGGAGAAAGCAGGGGAUCACUUGUGACCUUGCGCUAAUCGAUGAGCCUAAGUCGGAUUAGCUAGUUGGUGGGGUAAAGGCCUACCAAGGCGACGAUCUGUAGCGGGUCUGAGAGGCUGAUCCGCCACACUGGGACUGAGACACGGCCCAGACUCCUACGGGAGGCAGCAGUGGGGAAUAUUGGACAAUGGGGGGAACCCUGAUCCAGCCAUGCCGCGUGUGUGAAGAAGGCCUUAUGGUUGUAAAGCACUUUAAGCGAGGAGGAGGCUUACCUAGUUAAUACCUGGGAUAAGUGGACGUUACUCGCAGAAUAAGCACCGGCUAACUCUGUGCCAGCCGCCGCAGUAA
rnacentral:rRNA from 1 species